AUUAUUAAAAAUAAGAUUAAUUUGAAAUUAAUUGGAUGGACCUGUUUCUAAUAAU
rnacentral:tRNA from 1 species